UACGGGGGGGGCAAGCGUUGUUCGGAAUUACUGGGCGUAAAGGGUUCGUAGGUGGCUCGCUAAGUCAGACGUGAAAUCCCUCAGCUUAACUGGGGAACUGCGUCUGAGACUGGCGAGCUUGAGUGCAGGAGAGGAACGCGGAAUUCCAGGUGUAGCGGUGAAAUGCGUAGAUAUCUGGAGGAACACCGGUGGCGAAGGCGGCGUCCUGGACCAACACUGACACUGAGGAGCGAAAGCCAGGGGAGCAAACGGG
rnacentral:rRNA from 1 species